rnacentral:misc_RNA from 1 species
GUGAAUCAUCAAAUUUUUGAACGCAUAUUGCACUCUCUGGUAUUCCGGAGAGUAUGCCUAUUUGAGUAUCAUUAAAAAUAAUAUAAAUUCCAAUAUUUCUCAGAAUUUAAAAUGGAUUGUCCAUUUUUUGUGGUCGCCUAAAAUCCAAGACAAGCUCAUUUUCUUGAGUUGCGGGAUACUUUCAGUUACCUCGUGACUUAACCAGGAAUCAUCGGGCUUGUGAUGAAUGUUGCAAGAGAUAAAACAUUCCAUAGAUUUAUCUCAUGCGAAAUAGAAAGCGAAUCAUGACCUGAAAUUAUAA